GAGUGACAGAGAAGACUGGCAGCUGCAGAGCAGGACAGACCAGAUUGGCCAGUACAACAGCAGAGGGCCAUGUUGGGCUUUGACUCAGGAAUCCUGGUGGAGGCAAUGAUGAGAGAGAAGAGAUAAAACACACUAGGUAAGCCAAGGUAGUUGUCAGGAUAGAAGGAGACAGGCAGGCCAGAUGGCUGUUAACCGUGUGGUGUGUCCCAACUUUCCAGCAUCAAUUUAAUGGCCAAAUUAAAAUCAGCAGAGCCAAGUGUUAGAGUUAUUGCUGCCUGAGUUAUAACAGCUGCCCUGGGAAUCUUGUCUGAACAACAAGUUAACUGCUGUUCCCAGUUAUAUCUGGUCUUUCCCACCCCCAAACAUACACAAAAGAUUUUUGUCAUUCUUGGCACUGGACAACAGAAGUGAUAAGACAUGCCAGCAGAACUCUAAAGGCAGAAUGUCCUUCCACCUGUUUUAUGCUGUAAGACAAACUUCCAAGUGCGAGGCAGUGUGGAGGGCUGUUGCCUUGAAUGGCAGCUGAAUGCACCAGCGGGAUCCUUGGCAGCAAUGCCCAGGCACUGAAGUCGGGCAUUCAGGAGAGCUAAAUGGAGAAAAGAAACUUGAGCAAACUGCUUCCUGGAACACUGAGAACCUGAAUGGGAAAUUAAGAAGAACCAGAUUCUUUCUAUUCUUCCACCAGCCAAGCAACUUCAGGAUGGGGGAAUCAAGCAAAACCAUGGUGAAGAGAUUCAUUUAAAGAGGACAAGUGAUUUAUUCUACAUCUCAGGAGACAGUUCCUUAAGGUGAUGAGCACAAAAGGAUCCAUCUUAUACAGUGCUUGCCAGCUUCCAUAAUACUACUCACCACGAUGUUGAAAUCACCUGUUCCAGAACCAGUCCUGUCCUUUGACAAGAAGGAUUUAAUUAUCAGUAGUGGUGGGGACUGGCUGGAGAGAGGAAAAACACUUCAAGGACUCUGCCACCUUUCGUAGAUGGAGAGUGCAAAGUUUGUACCAUGGAACUCCUUCUCUAACAGUUACUCUGUGGCAGUGCCUAUUUCAAACCUCCCUUAACUUCUGAUUGUAUAGAUGUUUGUUUCAUUUGUUCAUCUGUUUGUUCACUUAGUCAGAGAUGUUUUAAGCCUUAAGAGAAAUAGUGGACUAGAAAAUGCCUUGGAAAAGUACAAAGUUCAAUCCAAGUAAACUGUUUUUAAACUAGGAAUUUAUGAAGCCUAAAAUAUAAAAUGUAUAUACAUGGAUAUGCUCUGAAGUGAGGUAGAGGGGUAGAAAUCAACAUUGUGAUAUUGUACUAUAGUUUUGCAAGAUGUUACCAUUGGGGGAAAAUGUUUGAAGGGUAUACGGGAUAUCUCUGCCUUAUUUCUUACAACUGCAUGUGAAUCUACAGUUAUCUCAAAAUAAAAAUUUAAUUAA
ensembl:lncRNA LINC03013 long intergenic non-protein coding RNA 3013